rnacentral:rRNA from 1 species
ACACGUAGUCAACAUGCCCAAAGGACGUGGAUAACCUCGGGAAACUGAGGAUAAACCGCGAUAGGCCAAGGUUUCUGGAAUGAGCCAUGGCCGAAAUCUAUAUGGCCUUUGGAUUGGACUGCGGCCGAUCAGGCUGUUGGUGAGGUAAUGGCCCACCAAACCUGUAACCGGUACGGGCUUUGAGAGAAGGAACCCGGAGAUGGGCACUGAGACAAGGUCCCAGGCCCUAUGGGGCGCAGCAGGCGCGAAACCUCUGCAAUAGGCGAAAGCCUGACAGGGUUACUCUGAGUGAUGCCCGCUAAGGGUAUCUUUUGGCACCUCUAAAAAUGGUGCAGAAUAAGGGGUGGGCAAGUCUGGUG